CUCUCCAGAGGAGGAAACUUGAAGCUGCUUUUGUCCCAAACUUUUGAGUCCGCUGGAUCCUGGAGGUCUGAACCGGAGAACCGGAGAAACGGGCCAACUGGAGGCCACACGGAACCACACGGAGCUCGGACCGGUCGGGACGACCCGCUCUGCGUGUGUCGCAACGUGAGGGUGAGACGGGGGUUUUACCGUGAACAUCCAUGGAGAACCGCAGCCUCUACAUUAUUCUUCUGCACUUUUUUGGGCGUCCAUCUUGAAAAGUUGUCUCAGCAAAAGACUCCGCGGCCCCGAUGAGGCGCGCGCGGCCGACAAGGCGCGCGUCCUGGUGACGGUCAGUGAUCGAUACUUGUGAUGGAGGGUCAGAGGUCAAGGCCCUCCUCCUCCUGCGGACUGUUGGUUCUGCUCCUCCGGCUGCUGACCUGCUGCGUGGCCGAAGAAGAGCUUCUGAUGAACACCAAGUUGGAAACGUCGGACCUUCGAUGGACGAACCAUCCACCUGAAGAUCCUCAGUGGGAGGAGCUGAGCGGGUUGGACGACGAGGCGAACAGCGUGCGGACCUAUGAGAUCUGCACUCCGGACAGCCUGUCCUCUUAUUGGCUGAGGACGCGCUGGAUCCCCCGGGGGGCGGCGACAACCCUCUACGUGGAGAUGCGGUUCACCAUGGUGGACUGUGCCAGCCUGAACACGCGCCACUGCAAGGAGACCUUUAACCUCUACUACUACCAGUCGGACAGCGACGAAGCCACGCCCACCCACCCGGCCUGGAUGGAGAACCCGUACGUCAAGGUGUCCACGGUGGCGGCGGACCACCUGAUGAAGAGAGGCGUGAGGCGCUCCAACGUCAAGCUGCUGCGCCUGGCGCCGCUGGUGGGGGCGGGGCUCUACCUGGCCUUCCAGAGCCAGGGUGCCUGCAUGGCGCUGCUCUCCGUGCGCGUCUUCUACAGGAAGUGCCCGCCGCUCCGCUCCGCCUUUGCCGCUUUCCCAGAGACCGUUCCCCACUCGCUGGUGGAGCAGGCUCAAGGUGUGUGUGUGGAGAACGCAGUGACACCGCCCGGCGAGCAGUCUCAACCUCCCAGCAUGCUUUGCGGCGAGGACGGGCAGUGGGUGGGGCAGCCGACGUCCAGCUGUGCCUGUCGCCCCGGUUACGUGGCGGGGGAGACAAACGUGCGCUGUCGAGCCUGUCCCUCGGGUCAGUUCAAGCCGGGUUUAGGACCUGGCGUGUGCACUCUGUGUCCAGACAGGAGCAACACUCUGAUCCCAGGCUCCGCCUACUGUCUCUGUCACCAUGGUUUCCACCGCGCGGACGCCGACCCGCCCCACGCCGCCUGCACAGGCCCUCCCUCUGCUCCCCGGUCCAUUGUGAGUCAAAUCAACAACACCUGUGUGACGCUGGAGUGGAGCGAGCCGCUGGACCGAGGAGGACGAGGAGACCUGAACUACAGAGUCCUCUGCUCCAGAUGUGGGCCCGCCUCCCAGGGAUUGGUCACCUCCUGUUCUCCAUGCGAUGACAGCAUCCUGUACCGCCCGGCGCAGCGUGGACUGACCCGGCGCCGCGUCUCUGUGUGGGGACUCCGCCCUCAGUCCAAGUACACCUUCACCGUCCAAUCACUGAACGGCGUCUCUGCUCUGAGCCAAUCAGAGCCGGCCUCCGACAGCGUCAACGUCACCACCAGCAGAGACGUUCCUCCUGCAGUGGCCGGCCUGAGGAGGGUGGCGUCCUCAGAGUCCAGUCUGUCUCUUGAGUGGAACGUCCCAGUUGUGCAGAACCAGUUCCAGAUCCUGGACUACCAGCUCCGCUACAGCCCGAAGGAGGGCGAGGGGGCGGGGCAGUGGCAGUACGUGUCCAGCAGGUCUUCUUCGGUGGUGGUGACGGGGCUCCGGCGGGCCGCGAGGUAUCGGGUUCAGGUCAGAGGUCGUUCUCAGGCCGGUUACGGGUCCUUCAGCCCGGAGAGCAGCUUCAGCACGCUGCCUGAGGGUGUCGGUUCUCAGCUGGUGGUGACAGCGGCUCUCGUCUCCAUGGGGAUCCUGAUGCUUGUUGCCACGGCGAUACUGGCUCUGUACUGCUACCGCAGGAGGGUGAAGGACUCUGAGUUGACUGAUAGAAGUGGACACUACCAGAUGGGACAGACGAUGAAGGUGUACAUCGACCCCUUCACCUACGAGGACGCUAACGAGGCGGUGAGGGAGUUCGCCAAAGAGAUUGAGGCGUCUUUUGUGAAGAUCGAGGAAGUGAUCGGAGCAGGGGAGUUUGGCGAGGUGUGCAGAGGUCGGCUGAGGGUCCCGGGCCGGCAGGAGAACUACGUGGCCAUCAAGACGCUGAAGGGCGGGUACACGGACAAGCAGAGGCGCGACUUCCUUUCGGAGGCGUCCAUCAUGGGUCAGUUCCAGCACCCCAACAUCAUCCACCUGGAGGGCGUCAUCACCACUUCCUGUCCCGUCAUGAUCCUCACGGAGUUCAUGGAGAACGGGGCGCUGGACAGUUUCCUGAGGGUGAAUGACGGACAGUUCACCCCCAUCCAGCUGGUGGGGAUGCUGAGGGGCAUCGCCGCCGGCAUGAAGUACCUGUCGGACAUGAGCUUCGUCCACAGAGACCUGGCAGCCCGCAACAUCCUGGUCAACUCCAACCUGGUCUGUAAGGUGUCAGACUUCGGUCUCAGCAGGUUUCUGACUGAAAACUCUUCUGACCCGACGUACACCAGCUCUCUGGGAGGGAAGAUUCCUAUUCGCUGGACCGCCCCUGAAGCCAUCGCCUACAGGAAGUUCACCUCGGCCAGCGAUGGGUGGAGCUAUGGCAUCGUCAUGUGGGAGGUGAUGUCGUACGGAGAGCGACCUUAUUGGGACAUGAGCAACCAGGAUGUGAUUAAUGCCGUAGAGCAGGACUACCGUCUCCCCCCCCCACCCGAGUGUCCCGCCUCCCUCCAUUCCCUCAUGUUGGACUGUUGGCAGAAGGAACGAGCCAAUCGGCCGAGAUUCUGCGAUAUCGUGUCUGCUCUCGAUAGGCUGAUCCGAAAACCCGCCUCCCUGAAGGUGACGCUUGCAGAGGGCCACAGUGACCUGUCUGUCUCCCUGUCUGCCUGUCAGUGGGUCCCAGCCCCUGUUGGACCAGCGUGUCCCCCCCUCCCUCUCGUCCUGUGGUUCUGUCUCUGAGUGGCUCCGGGCCAUAAAGAUGGAGCGAUACGAGCCGAGCUUCCUUCAGUCCGGGUUCACCAGUCUGGACGUUGUUUCUCAGCUCAACACUGACGACUUGCUCAGAGUGGGCGUGACCCUCGCCGGACACCAGAAGAAGAUCCUCACCUCCAUCCAGACGCUCAAAGUCCACAAAGCUCCGCCUCCGCCGCUCUACUGACCUAUCACAGCAUUGCCCCCCCGGCUGAGCUGCCCAAUAAGCACUACACUGGAGGAUGCUGAGCCACGCCCAUUCUUUAUUUAACAGCUGAACGUUUCGACCAAUUGGGAAGCCGGAGGGCUGUUGAGACUCCGCCCCAUGAUAGUCAGAAGCACAGCACAUGUACAGCUGCUGUCAUGAUUGGACGUCCACUUUUGUUACAUUGACCAAUCAGCCCUCUGCUCAGGAAAACCGAAGCUCCGCCUACUUUUUCCAGGUGUUUUCAUCACCCUAAUCCAAAGCCGUGGAGCAACUGGCUAAUCAGCCUCUUGCACAGCAGGGACACAUGUCCGCCAUUGGACAACUGCCCCCCUUUGCCCUGCUGUUUAAGCCCCGCCUGCCUCUGACUGCCAGACCGGUACCUCACACCCCCGGGUUCUUCAUCUC